UGGCCGUUCUUAGUUGGUGGAAUGAUCUGUCAGGUUAAUUCCGAUAACGAACGAGACCCCAGCCAUCUAACUAGCUGUUACUACUUCGGUAGUGUUUGCGMAAGCAUAAACAGCUUCUUAGAGGGACUAUCUGUGUCAGCAGGUGGAAGUUUGGGGCAAUAACAGGUCAGUGAUGCCCUUAGAUGCUCUGGGCUGCACGCGCGCUACAAUGGUGCAUUCAGCGAGUUUAACCUUGCUUGAAAAAGCUGGGUAAUCUUUAAAAUGCAUCUCAGUUGGGAUAGAUGAUUGCAAUUAUUCAUCUUGAACAAGGAAUAUCUAGUAAACGCAAGUCAUCAACUUGCAUUGAUUACGUCCCUGCCCUUUGUACACACCGCCCGUCGCUCCUACCGAUUGAAUAAUCCGGUGAAUUGAGUGGGUUGGGGCACAUGUCUCUUUUGAUGAGUGCCCCAAGAAGCUCUGUGAACCUUAUUAUUUAGAGGAAGGACAAGUCGUAACAAAGGAG
rnacentral:rRNA from 1 species